UACGUAGGGGGCAAGCGUUGUCCGGAUUUAUUGGGCGUAAAGCGCUCGCAGGCGGCCCGCUGCGUCGUGCGUGAAAGCCCCGGGCUCAACCUGGGAAUGGCAAUGGAUACUGGCAAGCUAGAGUGCGGUAGAGGGUAGUGGAAUUCCCGGUGUAGCGGUGAAAUGCGUAGAGAUCGGGAGGGACACCAGUGGCGAAGGCGGCUACCUGGACCAGCACUGACACUGAGGCACGAAAGCGUGGGGAGCAAACAGG
rnacentral:rRNA from 1 species